rnacentral:rRNA from 1 species
ACCUGCGGCNCGCAUAUGCAUGCAAGUCGAGCGAUGAGUCUCUUCGGAGGCAUCAGCGGCAGACGGGUGAGUAACACGUGGAUGACCUGCCCUCAAGACUGGGAUAACGGGUGGAAACAUGCGCUAAUACCGGAUAGGCUUCUGGGGUCGCAGCCAGAAGUAAAGCUACGGUGCUUGAGGAGGGGUCCGCGGCCCAUCAGCUAGUUGGUAGGGUAACGGCCUACCAAGGCGAAGACGGGUAGGGGGUGUGAGAGCAUGGCCCCCCACAAUGGGACUGAGAGACGGCCCAUACUCCUACGGGAGGCAGCAGCGGGGAAUAUUGCACAAUGGACGGAAGUCUGAUGCAGCGACGCCGCGUGGAUGAAGAAGGCCUUCGGGUUGUAAAAUCCUUUUCGGGGGGAAGAGAGAGGACGGUACCCUCGGAAUAAGCGUCGGCUAACUACGUGCCAGCAGCCGCGGUAAUACGUAGGACGCGAGCGUUAUCCGGAUUUACUGGGCGUAAAGCGUCUGUAGGCGGUGGCGUAAGUUGGGCGUGAAAGCUCCGGGCUUAACCCGGAGAGGCCGCACAAUACUGCGCGACUAGAGGGCGUGAGAGGGGAGCGGAAUUUCCGGUGUAGCGGUAAAAUGCGCAGAUAUCGGGAGGAACACCAGUGGCGCAGGCNGCUCCCUGGUGCGCACCUGACGCUGAGAGACNAAAGCUAGGGGAGCAAACAGGAUUAGAGACCCUGGUAUCCUAGCCCUNAACGAUGGNAUGCUAGGUGUGGGGCCGAUAGGCUCUGUGCCGCANCUAACGCGCUNAGCAUCCCCCUGGG